UCCAGCCAUGCCGCGUGUGUGAAGAAGUUCUUCGGAUUGUAAAGCACUUUAAGUUGGGAGGAAGGGCAGUAAGUUAAUACCUUGCUGUUUUGACGUUACCAACAGAAUAAGCACCGGCUAACUUCGUGCCAGCAGCCGCGGUAAUACGAAGGGUGCAAGCGUUAAUCGGAAUUACUGGGCGUAAAGCGCGCGUAGGUGGUUCAGCAAGUUGGAUGUGAAAUCCCCGGGCUCAACCUGGGAACUGCAUCCAAAACUACUGAGCUAGAGUACGGUAGAGGGUGGUGGAAUUUCCUGUGUAGCGGUGAAAUGCGUAGAUAUAGGAAGGAACACCAGUGGCGAAGGCGACCACCCGGACUGAUACUGACACUGAGGUGCGAAAGCGUGGGGAGCAAACAGGAUUAGAUAUCCUGGUAGUCCACGCCGUAAACGAUGUCGACUAGCCGUUGGGAUCCUUGAGAUCUUAGUGGCGCAGC
rnacentral:rRNA from 1 species